rnacentral:tRNA from 2 species
GCAUCCUUAGUUAAAUGGUUAUAACUACAAUAUUCGACAUUGUUAUUAUUGGUCCGACUCCAAUAGGAUGUU